rnacentral:lncRNA from 1 species
UGGGGGUGAAAGCUAGAUGGUGUUUCGAUGCCAUUGUGACCUACAAUAUUAAUGAACAUUAACAAAUAUAACAUGUUGAACAAUAAUAUUAGUAGAGCAUCGAUAAAUAAAUACUAACAUUUAUACCAAGAUGUUGAACUCAUCGCCUACUGGCAUCUAUAAUAUGGACAUUAUCAUUGCUCCUAACAAAUGUAUCUGGGAUCUCGAUAAUACCAGAUAAGUUUUGUCUUAGAGGAACACUUUGUAUGCAUGGUCCAACAUCAUCAUCAAACUC